AACGAACGCUGGCGGCAUGCCUAACACAUGCAAGUCGAACGGGACCUUCGGGUCUAGUGGCGCACGGGUGCGUAACGCGUGGGAACCUGCCUUUAGGUUCGGAAUAACUCAGAGAAAUUUGAGCUAAUACCGGAUGAUGUCUUCGGACCAAAGAUUUAUCGCCUUUAGAUGGGCCCGCGUUGGAUUAGCUAGUUGGUGGGGUAAAGGCCUACCAAGGCGACGAUCCAUAGCUGGUCUGAGAGGAUGAUCAGCCACACUGGGACUGAGACACGGCCCAGACUCCAACGGGAGGCAGCAGUGGGGAAUAUUGGACAAUGGGCGAAAGCCUGAUCCAGCAAUGCCGCGUGAGUGAUGAAGGCCUUAGGGUUGUAAAGCUCUUUUACCCGAGAUGAUAAUGACAGUAUCGGGAGAAUAAGCUCCGGCUAACUCCGUG
rnacentral:rRNA from 1 species